rnacentral:lncRNA from 1 species
UUGUCAACUUGGACUUAACACCAGUUUAACAGUCCUAUUAAUAAUUUAAGUGUGAGAUUCGAAUUACCCCUGGGUCUAAGUAACAAUUUAAAAUUAACAUUAAAAUUAUAAAGUAAAAUAUUCUUUUAUUUUGGUGUGAAAAUAACGAUUUCUAAUGUGGGAAAACUGAUAAAAGAUCCACUUCCUUUAACGGAAGUUGAAGCAUCCUUUGUUUUCCACUUAUCUAACACAAAUCUCACCACACUGGGAAUUGCCGACCCCUCAAUAAUUCUCCUUUCCAUGCGUUCACGUGAGUGAAGACAAAUAAGCUGAUUGGUCACAAAUCAUGAGAUAUAGUCAAAGAUCUGCAUGAUUCGGGGAGUAUGUCCAAAGAUCUCAUACAGAAAGGAGGUAUCCCAUAUUGUCUCCCUAAGGCCAACGCCCUUAGUUAGGAGUAUGCCGUAAGAUCUCAGAGAAGAUCGACGUAGUCUAUAUUUGUUCCACCAAAACCUUUAGUUUCCUCCAGUCAAGUACACUAAUGAGUAAAAUUAGGAGAAUAGAAGAAAAUAUAUAAUUUUGUGCCAAUUCAGGACUUCUCCAUAAAAUGAAGUAGGAUCAUCUAGAGUACAGAAGAAGAUUCAAGAUAAAGUAAAUUGAGGUAUGGCAUCAAAGAUUUCCUCCAAGGACCAAAUAUUCUUGUUUUUGUUUCGAUUUUGCAUUCCAUACUUAAUGAAGGCCAAUUUUGACUGUGAAAGAAUGAUUAACACACUAGCAAGACAAAGAAUUUUCACACAAGGCAUUGUUACAUAUUUAUUUAGUAUCAAAAAUAAUUUGGAAAGAAAGGAAAAGUUUCUCAGAAUUGUGAACCUGAACAAAAAAGCUGUUUUAACUUUCAGAAAUAUUUUAAUUAAAACUAGAAAUGCGAAAUGCCUGAGCAUUAUUAUAAAUGAAUAUAAAAAAAUGAUUUCUGGAAGGUCACCUAAUGCAUGAAAACAACCAUCACUUCUGCAGUGUUUUAAUGUUAAUUUUAAACUUCCUAAGUGUCACGUUAAAAAAUUAGUAAUGAUGUUAAUAUGAAAAUUAUUUAAAAUUUGUUGAAAAUGGCAGUUCGUUUAACGGAAAUUGUCAUUCAAAAUAAAAAAUUUGUGAUAGUCAAUGUCAAGUUUCAGCAGUUCUGUCCAUGCCUUUGCAGAGGUGUCUUCUAAACUAGAAUUUCUAGUCACAAUUUAGAAAUUCAAUGCAACAGAAGUGAGAUUUUAAAAUUUUAUAAGAGUAUUAGUAAUUAUUGCUAUUAAUAAUCAAAUUAUUAUACAUUUACUAACUGUACAAAUAAAUAAUAUAUAUGAACAUAUAAAGAAAUGAUACUGCCAAAUAUUAAUCAUGUAAUAGUUUUAAAAUUAUAAAAAGGUAGGUAGUCAAGUUGUCAUUUUGUAUUUGCAUCUGCAUGGUUAGUAGCAGUUGCAGGUUUGAAUUUUGCUUUGGAUCGAUCCGUUUUUCUGGAAUAAUUUAAAGUGAUAUGAUUUGUAAAGUUAAAUCCAGGGCUGUGGAGUCGGAGUCAUGGAGUUUUGAUGUUUUAGCCGGAGUCGGAUGGUAAGGAAAAGUUGGAGUCGGUAGAUUUUUACGUGACUUCCACAGCCCUGGCAGGGCUGUUGAGUCGGAGUCGUGGAGUUUUGGUGUUUUAGCUGGAGUCGGAUGAUAAGAAAAAGUCGGAGUCGGUAGAUUUUUACGCGACUCCACAGCCCUGGUUAAAUCUUUACUGUAUGUUGGGUAUGGUUUAAAUGUAAAUAUGUAUAGUUACAUCAUAAAAGAGCUUCUUCACUUGAUAAUUGUUGAAGCUAACAUAUCAAAUACAGAUAUCACACUGCUACUGGUAUCUCUGCUAAGUCUCGGUUAACAUUAAAAUGACACUCAUGUCAUCAGAAUUCAACUUUAUUACUGGUAUGCAUUUUGGUACGUAAGACUUCCACCAGCCAUACAUAAAAAUAUAUUGGUAUCUGUCGCAGAAACAUAUUCACAGAGAAACUGACAAUAAUUACAAUCUACAAUUUAAAGUUUCUUCGUUAAUAUGUUUCUGCGACAGAUACCAAUAUAUUUUUACGUAUGGCUGAUGAGGAUCUUGUGUAUCAAAAUGCAUACCAGUAAUAAAGUUGCAUUCUGAUGACAGAAGUGUCAUUUUAACGUUAUCAGUAGCAGUGUGAUAAGUUUCAGUUACCUCUACUACUGUAUUUGAGAUAUUGGUUUCAAUAUAUAGUUAGUUUGAUAGAGAAUUGAAUCUAUAGAUUCAUCAGGAAAUGAAUUUUCCAAAUGCAAACAAUGCUCGCUUUUUCACUUGAAUUCAACACAAAACAUCACUCGUCUGUUGAAAAUUUUCUUUUUUAAUUAGUUUUAGUUAUAUUGAUGAUUUUUACUUUACGAAUCAUAGAUCGGUUCAUAAAUGCACUAUCAAAUGAAUACCAAAAACUUUCAACACUGGAACAGAAAAUGACAAUAAAAUUUAUUUUUGUAUAUUGUAUUUAUAUACAUAUAAUAAUUAAUAAUUGUAUUUAUUAAUUAUUUAAUUCUGUAAAGAGAUUUAUAAUAUUUUUUAUUUUCUGUUCCACUAUUAUAAGCUCCUGACAAUCACUUUAACUGCAUUUGUGAAGCAACACAUGACCCAUAAAAUAAAAAUCCUCAAUACUUAAAAAAGAAAAAAAUGUUCAACAGACAAGUUAUGCCUUAUAUUGAAUUGCAGUGAAAAAUCAAGCAUUGUCUCUAUUUGGACAGUUAAUAAAAUCUAAAAUAAUUUGAUUAUUAACAACAAUUAAAGCCCUUAAAAAAUUAAAUUUAUACUCAAAUGGUCAAAAGAGACAAAGGUUAAUAAUUGUUACAACUUUUGAAAC